UGACAGCUGCUGCAGAAGGGAGAGAGACAAGAGUUACUAAGGGAAAAAGGAUGUUAAAGGAAAAAAAUAUGCUCUAUUGCGUACCCAUUGCCAUGGUGACCUGCCUUGUCACAACUCAAAGUGAUGGAGUUGAGCAACCACGCAUGGAGACCUCUGAGGCUGUAACGACGGAAUAAACCCUCCUCCUUUUUCAGUUGAUUUACUUUCGGUAUUUGUCACAGUGCCAGAACGAUGCCUGGAGAUUUCCAUUGCUGGCCUCUGUGGUAAAAUACCACAGUGCUUUGGCAACACCGUAAAUAGUCUUAUUGGAAUCAGGCCCUUCCGGACAAGAAGCAAUUUCCACGCCUUCCAACCCGGUGUGUGGUAUGGGCAGAGUCUGACAGCUGGGACGUGGUGGCAGCCAGGGAGUUCGCUCACUUCGCAAAAUGCACAAAAUUUGUCUUUUUCACAACUGCCUCUGCUUUUCCCGAGGGCUGAAGGAGAUAAUGAAACAUUAAAAGAC